rnacentral:rRNA from 1 species
UACGUAGGGGGCGAGCGUUGUCCGGAUUUAUUGGGCGUAAAGAGCGUGUAGGCGGCCAGACAGGUCCGUUGUGAAAACUCGAGGCUCAACCUCGAGAUGUCGAUGGAAACCGUCUGGCUAGAGUCCGGAAGAGGAGAGUGGAAUUCCUGGUGUAGCGGUGAAAUGCGCAGAUAUCAGGAAGAACACCAAUGGCGAAAGCAGCUCUCUGGGACGGUACUGACGCUGAGACGCGAAAGCGUGGGGAGCGAACAGG